rnacentral:rRNA from 1 species
GAUGAACGCUGGCGGCGUGCCUAAUACAUGCAAGUCGAGCGAACGGACGAGAAGCUUGCUUCUCUGAUGUUAGCGGCGGACGGGUGAGUAACACGUGGAUAACCUACCUAUAAGACUGGGAUAACUUCGGGAAACCGGAGCUAAUACCGGAUAAUAUUUUGAACCGCAUGGUUCAAAAGUGAAAGACGGUCUUGCUGUCACUUAUAGAUGGAUCCGCGCUGCAUUAGCUAGUUGGUAAGGUAACGGCUUACCAAGGCAACGAUGCAUAGCCGACCUGAGAGGGUGUUCGGCCACACUGGAACUGAGACGCGGUCCAGACUCCUCCGGGAGGCAGCAGUAGGCAAUCUUCCGCAAUGGGCGAAAGCCUGACGGAGCAUCGCCGCGUGAGUGAUGAAGGUCUUCGGAGCGUAAAACUCUGUUAUUAGGGAAGAACAUAUGUGUAAGUAGCUGUGCACUUCUUGACGGUACCUAAUCAGAAAGCCACGGCUAACUACGUG